rnacentral:rRNA from 1 species
CCUACGGGUGGCAGCAGGGAGGAAUAGUGGGCAAUGGCCGGAAGGCUGAACCAGCCAAGUAGCGGGAGGGAAGACUGCCCGAUGGGUUGUAAACCGCUGUUAUGCGGGGAUAAAGGUGUCCACGUGUGGAUGUUUGCAGGUACCGCAUGAAUAAGGACCGGCUAAUUCCGUGCCAGCAGCCGCGGUAAUACGGAAGGUCCGGGCGUUAUCCGGAUUUAUUGGGUUUAAAGGGAGCGUAGGCCGGUCUUUAAGCGUGCCGUGAAAUUUUGUGGCUCAACCAUGAGAGUGCGGCGCGAACUGGCGCCCUUGAGUGCGCGAGUGGCAGGCGGAAUUCGUGGUGUAGCGGUGAAAUGCUUAGAUCUCACGAAGAACCCCGAUUGCGAAGGCAGCCUGCCGCAGCGUUCCUGACGCUGAAGCUCGAAAGCGCGGGUAUCGAACAGGAUUAGAUACCCCUGUAGUC